rnacentral:lncRNA from 1 species
GUCAUCGUUGUCUGAUUAAAAUGUAGAAAUGGAAGCUGAUGUGUUUUUAUGUGUCCGUAUGUAAUCGCCUCCAUCCAUGCUACGAGAGCUAUUCCCCUAGUCUGUAAUAUGGUGGGGACCCUACACAAUCGUGAAUAAUGAUUUAUACAUAUUUUGGAUUUUGUUUUUCAAUGGAUUUUGGAUAUUUUUACUUGUGAAGUUGAUCGACUGUUCCUGAUGGAUCCUGACAUACCGCCAUGAUACUGGACACUUUAAUUGUUUUGAAAAUUUACAGCUUAACGUUUAUUAUAGUAUUUAUUACUAUUGUACCAACAUUUAAAUUCAUUUUUUGAAAGAAGAAGAACAGACCAUGUCUCGUCUCGUGUAC